CAGUGCCCUGUCUUGUGCCCCCACACCCAUACUUUCUCCCCCUGCAGUGGCAUUUGCCUUUAGAACAGUCACCGCUAAGUGUGGAUAAGGUUAUUCCUCCUGGGAGGCCUUGGAGGGUUGCAUUCAGGCAAACUUGUAAAUGUAGGGACACAGACUCAGGAUGGGGGAAGGAAUCAAAUCUACCAGCAUCAUCAGCCUCCCCUUUAUUCCAGCUUAAACGAUUCAAACGUUGUUUGUUUUUUCAAUUGAGGCAAGUCCACAAGACAACAAAUGACUCAUUAAAUUUUGCCAUUUUAACUGUUUAUUUUUGAAAAGAGAAUUUCAGAUAGUCAUGGUGUAGGGGCUCUGUUGCAGCAUGGAAGCUCACUGGAGAUUCAAGAGAGGAAGAAGCAGACUAGAUUUUCAGCUUUUUUUUUUCCCUCUCUCUCUCUUGAAGCUGAACUGUCAAGUCACAGAUCUGAACAAGGAGGCAUCUAUUUCUUUCAACAAUAACUCAGGAAUAGCCAUGGGCCAAAAUGAAGGCAGUCCCUCUGAGUGGAAGGAAACAGCCUGCCACACUCAAAACUGA
rnacentral:lncRNA from 1 species